rnacentral:lncRNA from 1 species
UCAAAGAGCUGGAACCGUCGGACGAGAGGAUGAGUCGCGAACUGGAGGUGUAUAGCCGGCAAAGUGAAGAUGGCGGCCCCUCAGUCCAGAGUAGAGUGCACGCAGAACAUGCUCUGUUGCCGUCGCCAUCGCAGAAGGAAGAGGGACGAAGGAGAGACUUGCAGAAGAAAGGGGCUUUGUCCCUCAAUCGAUCGCCAUCGC